GCAGUGGUGGUUCAGUGGGAGAAUUCUCACCUCCCAUGAGGGAGACCUUGGGUUCAACUCCCAGCCCAGUGCC
rnacentral:tRNA from 1 species